AGUGAACGCUGGCGGUAGGCCUAACACAUGCAAGUCGAACGGCAGCACAGUAAGAGCUUGCUCUUACGGGUGGCGAGUGGCGGACGGGUGAGGAAUACAUCGGAAUCUACUUUUUCGUGGGGGAUAACGUAGGGAAACUUACGCUAAUACCGCAUACGACCUACGGGUGAAAGCAGGGGAUCUUCGGACCUUGCGCGAUUGAAUGAGCCGAUGUCGGAUUAGCUAGUUGGCGGGGUAAAGGCCCACCAAGGCGACGAUCCGUAGCUGGUCUGAGAGGAUGAUCAGCCACACUGGAACUGAGACACGGUCCAGGCUCCUACGGGAGGCAGCAGUGGGGUAUAUUGGACAAUGGGCGCAAGCCUGAUCCAGCCAUACCGCGUGGGUGAAGAAGGCCUUCGGGUUGUAAAGCCCUUUUGUUGGGAAAGAAAAGCAGCAGGUUAAUACCCCGCUGUUCUGACGGUACCCAAAGAAUAAGCACCGGCUAACUUCGUG
rnacentral:rRNA from 1 species